UACGGAGGGGGCGAGCGUUGUCCGAAGUUACUGGGCGUAAAGCGCACGCAGGCGGUUCGCCAAGUUUGGAGUGACAGUUGUCGGCUCAACCGACAAAGGACUUCAAAAACUGGUGAGCUUGAGGACGAGAGAGGAACAUGGAACUCCAGGUGUAGUAGUGAAAUGCGUAGAUAUCUGGAAGAACACCAAUGGCGAAGGCAAUGUUCUGGCUCGUUUCUGACGCUCAGGUGCGAAAGCCAGGGGAGCGAACGGG
rnacentral:rRNA from 1 species